rnacentral:rRNA from 1 species
UACGUAGGGGGCAAGCGUUGUCCGGAAUCAUUGGGCGUAAAGAGCGUGUAGGCGGCCUAGAUAGUCUGGUGUGAAAUCUUGGGGCUCAACCCCAAGCGGUCACUGGAUACUUCUAGGCUUGAGUCCGGAAGAGGAGAGUGGAAUUCCUGGUGUAGCGGUGGAAUGCGCAGAUAUCAGGAGGAACACCAACGGCGAAGGCAGCUCUCUGGUACGUGACUGACGCUGAGACGCGAAAGCGUGGGUAGCAAACAGG